rnacentral:lncRNA from 1 species
GCCCCAAGUGGAGGCAGCAGCAGCAGCAGGAGGGAGGUGUCGGGGCAGUGGGGCCGCAGGGCCAGUCCUCAGGUUGGUUACUCAGUUGUCCUCCCUGGUCUGUCCUCAAGGCGUGAUUUGGGCUGGGGUUCUGGCUGCCGUCCAGCCCUCCCUGGUUGCUGUGAGCCUGGCUCUCUAGCCAGCCCUAGAAGUCCGUGAGUUAGUUCUCUGUUGCUUGCAACCAAGAACCCUGACAAGAAAGAAAACUGGCUCAGAGAGGCUGAGUAACCUGCUCAAGAUGACACAGCUUGUGGGUGGCUGAGUUGGCCUUCCAACCCAGAUUCCUGUCAUGUUCCUCAAGCCGACAGCACAUUCCUCCACUUGAAUGCUACAUCUUAG